rnacentral:rRNA from 1 species
GACGAACGCUGGCGGCGUGCCUAAUACAUGCAAGUCGAGCGAAGUUUUUCUGGUGCUUGCACCGGAAAAACUUAGCGGCGAACGGGUGAGUAACACGUAAAGAACCUGCCUCAUAGACUGGGACAACUAUUGGAAACGAUAGCUAAUACCGGAUAACAGCAUUAACUGCAUGGUUGAUGUUUGAAAGUUGGUUUUGCUAACACUAUGAGAUGGCUUUGCGGUGCAUUAGCUAGUUGGUGGGGUAAAGGCCUACCAAGGCGACGAUGCAUAGCCGACCUGAGAGGGUGAUCGGCCACACUGGGACUGAGACACGGCCCAGACUCCUACGGGAGGCAGCAGUAGGGAAUCUUCCGCAAUGGGCGAAAGCCUGACGGAGCAACGCCGCGUGAGUGAAGAAGGAUUUCGGUUCGUAAAGCUCUGUUGUUAGGGAAGAAUGAUUGUGUAGUAACUAUACAC